UCUAAAUUUUUUUUAAUACAUGUAAAAAAAAAAUACCCAACAAACUAUCAAAUCUAUUUUACUAAUACACACACAAAAUCAUUCAACUUUUACCAAAUAAAUAACAUUAAGACAUGGAACCAGUCCAUGUCAUACUUGUGAAUAUGUUCUUUGUGUUCUAACAACUUUUUCUCUUAACUAAAACCCAUGAACCAAAUGAUUUCUGACCUGCUUCUCUCUCACACAAUUGUGUGUGUGUUUUUGGUGUUCUAACAACUUUCUCUCUCUAAAACCCAUGAGCCAAAUGAUUUCUGACCUGCUUCUCACCCGCACACUUGUGUGUUUUUGGUCUUGGUGUUCCAAUAAUUUUCCCUCUCUAGAAACUCAUGCAACCAAACGAUUUCAGCCUGCUUCGAUCUUCAGAUCUGGUAGCUUUAAAAGAAAGGGAUGAGUACAUGAACACAUGGUGUCUUCGAUCUUCAGAUCUGGUGGCUUUGAUCUUCGAUAUUCAGAUCUCGUAGCUUUGAUGGUGGCUUUGAUGAAAAGGUGAUGUUUUUUCUCUCUAAUAUCUAAUGAAUUAUUUUGAAAAUAGUUAGAUGAAAAGUGAUAUAUGAGAGAGAGAGAGACAUGUGACAUAAAGAAAAUGAUGGGAUGGGGGAAGGGUGAUGUGAUGGUUAAAACAAAAUGACUAAAUUGCCCUUUGAUCAUGUGUUUUUAAUAGAUGAUGUGGAUCAAUCAUGUCCACACAAUCUAGGUUUCCCAAGUUUUCUAGAAAACCCAUUUAAUCUAGAAAACUUGGGAAACCUGGAUUGUGUGGACAGGAUUGAUCCACAUCAUCUAUUAAAAACACAUGAUCAAAGGGCAAUUUAGUCAUUUUGUUUAAACCAUCACCUCACCCUUCCCCAUCCCAUCAUUUUCUUUAUGUCACAUCUCUCUCUCUCUCUCAUAUAUCACUUUUCAUCUAACCAUUUUCAAAAUAAUUCAUUAGAUAUUAGAGAGAGAAACAUCACCUUUUCAUCAAAGCCACCAUCAAAGCUAUGAGAUCUGAAUAUCGAAGAUCAAAGCCACCAGAUCUGAAGAUCGAAGACACCAUAUGUUCAUGUACUCAUCCCUUUCUUUUGAAGCCACCGGAUCUGAAGAUCGAAGCCACCAGAUCUGAAGAUCGAAGCAGGCUGAAAUCGUUUGGUUGCAUGAGUUUCUAGAGAGAGAAAAUUAUUGGAACACCAAGACCAAAAACUCACACAAGUGUGCGACUGAAAAGCAGGUCAGAAAUCAUUUGGUUCAUGGGUUUUAGAGAGAGAAAGUUGUUAGAACACCAAGAACACACACACAAUUGUGUGAGAGAGAAGCAGGUCAGAAAUCAUUUGGUUCAUGGGUUUUGGUUAAGAGAAAAAGUUGUUAGAACACAAAGAACAUGCUCACAAGUAUGACAUGGACUGGUUCCAUGUCUUAAUGUUAUUUAUUUGGUGAAUGGAUGUUUUGUGUUCAAGAUGAAGAUGGUUAUCAAGGAGCAAAGCAUAUUGUUUUGUGUUCAAGAUGAAGAUGGUUAUCAAGGAGCAAAGCAUACGUACUACAUGAUUGGUGAAGCUCAGUAUGUUCUUCGUUACUUAGUUUAACGUAUGUACGUUUCAUGUGAAACAUAAACAAUAUCCCGCUCGUGUUUCAACAUCUAUUUUGGUUGUAAUUUGACAAUGGCAUAGUUUCCCUUAACUUGUUUUACUAGAUGUGUAUAUUCUUGUGUAUGGUACCACUUUUAUAUGUUACCUUUAUCACUUUUUAUGUUUAA